UACGGGGGGGGCAAGCGUUGUUCGGAAUUACUGGGCGUAAAGGGCGCGUAGGCGGCCAGACAAAGUCGAGCGUUAAAUUCCAGGGCUUAACCCUGGGCUGUUGCUCGAUACUAGUCGGCUAGAGUGUGGAAGAGGGUGCUGGAAUUCCCGGUGUAGCGGUGAAAUGCGUAGAUAUCUGGAGGAAUACCGGUGGCGAAGGCGGCAUCCUGGACCGAGAUUGACGCUGAACGACGAAAGCUAGGGGAGCAAACGGG
rnacentral:rRNA from 1 species